rnacentral:rRNA from 1 species
UAACACGUGGGUGACCUGCCCUCCACUCUGGGAUAAGCCUGGGAAACUGGGUCUAAUACCGGAUAGGACCAUUGAUCGCAUGGUUGGUGGUGGAAAGUUUUUUCGGUGGGGGAUGGGCCCGCGGCCUAUCAGCUUGUUGGUGGGGUGAUGGCCUACCAAGGCGGUGACGGGUAGCCGGCCUGAGAGGGCGACCGGCCACACUGGGACUGAGACACGGCCCAGACUCCUACGGGAGGCAGCAGUGGGGAAUAUUGCGCAAUGGGCGGAAGCCUGACGCAGCGACGCCGCGUGGGGGAUGACGGCCUUCGGGUUGUAAACCUCUUUCGCCAGGGACGAAGAGCAAUUGACGGUACCUGGAGAAGAAGCACCGGCCAACUACGUGCCAGCAGCCGCGGUAACACGUAGGGUGCGAGCGUUGUCCGGAAUUAUUGGGCGUAAAGAGCUCGUAGGCGGUGUGUCGCGUCGGCCGUGAAAACUUGGGGCUUAACUCUGAGCGUGCGGUCGAUACGGGCAUCACUUGAGUUCGGCAGGGGAGACUGGAAUUCCUGGUGUAGCGGUGAAAUGCGCAGAUAUCAGGAGGAACACCGGUGGCGAAGGCGGGUCUCUGGGCCGAUACUGACGCUGAGGAGCGAAAGCGUGGGGAGCGAACAGGAUUAGAUACCCUGGUAGUCCACGCCGUAAACGUUGGGCGCUAGGUGUGGGGACCAUUCC